UGAGUCGGUGGGAUGUAUAACAUUUCACAUGUAGCAAGGAAUAUAUUCCAAUUGGUAUCUGUAAAUCAUUUGAACCUGCAAUUUUCCUAAGGUAUAAUUUACUAUUACCUUUUUGUUUUAUAAAUGGUUUUGCUCCCAUUAUGUUUCUUAAUGGAACCAGCGCAGCGUGGCUUUUUACAUUUGCUGCAUGACCAAUUCAUGAUUUUUGGAUGCAAAGGUGUCACCUAAAUUAGCAUCUUAAGCAUCUAGCUCUGCUCAUAGAAGCUCUCUAUAGACGACCUAUGAUUUGUAUAAGAUGGGCAUGGAUGUAAGUUGAUGAUUUGCGUUGAAAAGGUGCCAAUUGUUUGGCACAUCAAUUUCGGAGGCAGAGUUGCGAGCUGCACGAUCAUUCUGGAGAACGAUUCGGCCACGAUUAUCGGAUGGAUCCAAAAAGAGCCGAGGGGUGAGAGCACGGACCACCCCCUGAUCUAGGUACAACCUCUGUUCAGGAGACGGGGAGCUGCCACAAACACUCCGCGAGUUGGUAUUUUUUGACUUUAUUGG
rnacentral:lncRNA from 1 species